CACCCACCUUGGCCUCCCAAAGUGCUAGGAUUACAGGCGUGAGCCACCGCGACCGGCCUUUUUUUUUUUUUUUUCUGAGACAGGAUCUCACUCUGUCCCACAGGCUUGAGGGCAGUAGCUCCAUCUUGGCUCACCGCAACCUCUGCCUCCUAGGUUCAAGCGAUUCUCCUGCCUCAGCCUCCUGAGUAGCUGGGACUACAGGUGCCCACCACUAUACCUGGCUAUUUUUUGUAUUUUUAGCAGAGAUGGGGUUUUGCCAUGUUGGCCGGGCUGGUCUCGAACUCCUGGCCUCAUGUGAUCUGCCUGUCUGGGCCUCCCAAAGUGCUGGGAUUACAGGUGUGAGCCACCGUGUCCAGCCGGGAUCACUGUCUUUAUUCUUCAUCCGUGUCUCCUGGGUGAUCAUUAAUUGGGCUCUCCCAGUGUGCUGGCCACUGUCUUUUCUGGGUUUGAUUGAUUGAGUCCUCACAUCAGCCUCAUGAAGUUAGGACCCAUUAUCCUCUGAGACACAGGGAGGAAAAUGGCUUGCCCAAGUUGACACAGUAAAUUUGGGUGGACAUCUGUCUUACCCUAAAACCUGUGCUCUUAACCCCUUGCUCUCUACUCUGUAUUCGGGGACCUAGAAAGAUGCUGAGGAAGGAGAGCGCAACUGGGGUACCAUUCUGAGGUGACUUUGGCAUCCGAGGGGUUUCUGUCAGAGCCCAGAUGCUGCUGUUGUGGAUGGUGGCAAAGGGAAACUGUAUCUGCUCCAGCAUUUUAUUAAGCAGCCACUGCUCGUAAGAGGCUCCUACUCCUCGAAUCUUAACCAAUUUUCUGUAAAACCCUUAUGGGGACAAUCUAGAUGAAAUUAAACCCUCCAUCUGCUUAGCCAGGGGCUUGGGGAGCCGCCACAUCCUCCAGGUUGCUGGGACAGAUGCAGCCCUCCCUGGACUUCAGUCAAAACAUUGCAUCUUGCUCCUCCUUUGUCCUCGCUGCCCUGUGAACCUCUUUCCCUGUCCCCGCCUGCUGUGAGAAUUCGCUCAUCCAAAAAUUAAUUGAAAUUACAAGGGCUCUACUGUUUGACCCAGCAAUUUCUCCACCAGCAAUUUCUCCCACAGAGAUUGUCGCAUUUGUGCCAAAUGACAGGUGAAUGAGGAUGUGUCUUGCUUGCAGCAUCGUUGGUUAUAGCAAAAGGCCACCUCAGUGUUUACCAGAAGGGGUCCACUGUAUGUGUGUAUUUAUCGGACAACUAUGGGCCAGGGAAUGUUCAUUCUAAACACUGCCUAGGCUGGGCGCGGUGGCUCACGUCUGCAAUCCCAGCACUUUGGGAGGCCGAGGCAGGGGGAUCACUUGAGGUCAGGAGUUCGAGACCAGCCUGACCAACA
rnacentral:lncRNA from 1 species